CCUACGGGUGGCUGCAGUGAGGAAUAUUGGUCAAUGGACGCAAGUCUGAACCAGCCAAGUAGCGUGCAGGAUGACGGCCCUCCGGGUUGUAAACUGCUUUUAGUUGGGAAUAAAAGGGGGCUCGUGAGCCCCGUAUUGUAUGUACCAUCAGAAAAAGGACCGGCUAAUUCCGUGCAAGCAGCCGCGGUAAUACGGAAGGUCCGGGCGUUAUCCGGAUUUAUUGGGUUUAAAGGGAGCGUAGGCCGGCUUUUAAGUCAGCUGUGAAAGUCCGGGGCUCAACCCCGGCGAGCCGUUGAAACUGGCGGGCUGGAGUUGGAGAGAAGGACGCGGAAUGCGCGGUGUAGCGGUGAAAUGCUUAGAUAUCGCGCAGAACCCCGAUUGCGAAGGCAGCGUACCGGCUCCACACUGACGCUGAGGCACGAAAGCGUGGGUAUCGAACAGGAUUAGAUACCCCAGUAGUC
rnacentral:rRNA from 1 species